rnacentral:rRNA from 1 species
UACGAAGGGGGCUAGCGUUGCUCGGAAUCACUGGGCGUAAAGCGCACGUAGGCGGCUUUUUAAGUCAGGGGUGAAAUCCUGGAGCUCAACUCCAGAACUGCCUUUGAUACUGAGAAGCUUGAGUCCGGGAGAGGUGAGUGGAACUGCGAGUGUAGAGGUGAAAUUCGUAGAUAUUCGCAAGAACACCAGUGGCGAAGGCGGCUCACUGGCCCGGUACUGACGCUGAGGUGCGAAAGCGUGGGGAGCAAGCAGG